UAGGCACUACAUAACUGAACA
rnacentral:piRNA from 1 species